UGGGGGAUAUUGCACAAUGGGCGAAAGCCUGAUGCAGCGACGCCGCGUGGGGGAUGAAGGCCUUCGGGUUGUAAACUUCUUUUGCUCUGAACAAGGCAUGCUAAUGGGUGUGUUGAGUGUAGGGGUUGAUUGGCGCCGGCUAACUACGUGCCAGCAGCCGCGGUAAUACGUAGGGCGCGAGCGUUGUCCGGAAUUAUUGGGCGUAAAGGGCUUGUAGGUGGCUGGUUGCGUCUGUCGUGAAAGCUCAUGGCUUGACUGUGGGUUUGCGGUGGGUACGGGCUGGCUUGAGUGCAGUAGGGGAGGCUGGAAUUCCUGGUGUAGCGGUGGAAUGCGCAGAUAUCAGGAGGAAUACCGGUGGCGAAGGCGGGUCUCUGGGCUGUUACUGACACUGAGGAGCGAAAGCAUGGGGAGCGAACAGG
rnacentral:rRNA from 1 species